UACGGGGGGGGCAAGCGUUGUUCGGAAUUACUGGGCGUAAAGGGCUCGUAGGCGGCCAACUAAGUCGGACGUGAAAUCCCUCGGCUUAACCGGGGAACUGCGUCCGAUACUGGAUGGCUUGAGUUCGGGAGAGGGAUGCGGAAUUCCAGGUGUAGCGGUGAAAUGCGUAGAUAUCUGGAGGAACACCGGUGGCGAAGGCGGCAUCCUGGACCGACACUGACGCUGAGGAGCGAAAGCCAGGGGAGCAAAGCGGGG
rnacentral:rRNA from 1 species